rnacentral:rRNA from 1 species
UACAGAGGGUGCGAGCGUUAAUCGGAAUGACUGGGCGUAAAGGGCGCGUAGGUGGAUAUGUAAGUGAGAUGUGAAAUCCCCGGGCUUAACCUGGGAAUGGCAUUUCAGACUGUAUAUCUGGAGUACAGUAGAGGGUGGAGGAAUUUCCGGUGUAGCGGUGAAAUGCGUAGAUAUCGGAAGGAACACCAGUGGCGAAGGCGAGCACCUGGACUGAAACUGACACUGAGGCGCGAGAGCGUGGGUAGCAAACAGG